GACGAACGCUGGCGGCGUGCCUAAUACAUGCAAGUCGAGCGGACUGAUUAAGAGCUUGCUCUUAUGACGUUAGCGGCGGACGGGUGAGUAACACGUGGGCAACCUGCCCUGUAGAUCGGGAUAACACCGAGAAAUCGGUGCUAAUACCGGGUAAUAUCUGAGAUCACAUGAUCUUAGGUUAAAAGAUGGCUCCGGCUAUCACUACAGGAUGGGCCCGCGGCGCAUUAGCUAGUUGGUAAGGUAAUGGCUUACCAAGGCGACGAUGCGUAGCCGACCUGAGAGGGUGAUCGGCCACACUGGGACUGAGACACGGCCCAGACUCCUACGGGAGGCAGCAGUAGGGAAUCUUCCGCAAUGGACGAAAGUCUGACGGAGCAACGCCGCGUGAGUGAUGAAGGGUUUCAGCUCGUAAAGCUCUGUUGUUAGGGAAGAAACAGUACCGAACGAACUAGGUCGGUACCUUGACGGUACCUAACCAGAAAGCCACGGCUAACUACGUG
rnacentral:rRNA from 1 species